rnacentral:rRNA from 1 species
UUUUACAAUGGAGAGUUUGAUCCUGGCUCAGGAUGAACGCUAGCUAUAGGCUUAACACAUGCAAGUCGAGGGGAAACGGCAUU